GUCUAUGGGGAAAAAUAGCUCAGUUGGUAGAGCCUCUUAAUCUCUGGGCAAUGGGUUCAAGUCCCAUGUUGGGCA